rnacentral:rRNA from 1 species
UGGGGAAUUUUGGACAAUGGGCGAAAGCCUGAUCCAGCAAUGCCGCGUGUGUGAAGAAGGCCUUCGGGUUGUAAAGCACUUUUGUCCGGAAAGAAAUCCUUGGCUCUAAUACAGUCGGGGGAUGACGGUACCGGAAGAAUAAGCACCGGCUAACUACGUGCCAGCAGCCGCGGUAAUACGUAGGGUGCAAGCGUUAAUCGGAAUUACUGGGCGUAAAGCGUGCGCAGGCGGUUUGCUAAGACCGAUGUGAAAUCCCCGGGCUCAACCUGGGAACUGCAUUGGUGACUGGCAGGCUAGAGUAUGGCAGAGGGGGGUAGAAUUCCACGUGUAGCAGUGAAAAUGCGUAGAGAUGUGGAGGAAUACCGAUGGCGAAGGCAGCCCCCUGGGCCAAAUACUGACGCUCAUGCACGAAAGCGUGGGGAGCAAACAGGAUUAGAUACCCUGGUAGUCCACGCCCUAAACGAUGUCAACUAGUUGUUGGGGAUUCAUUUCCUUAGUAACGUAGCUAACGCGUGAAGUUGACCGCCUGGGGAGUACGGUCGCAAGAUUAAAACUCAAAUGAAUUGACGGGGUCAUAGCUGUUUCC